rnacentral:rRNA from 1 species
AGUGGCGCACGGGUGCGUAACACGUAUGUAACCUACCUUUGUCAGGGGGAUAGCCUCUCGAAAGAGAGAUUAAGACCGCAUAACAUUGAGAUGUGGCAUCACAAAACAAUCAAAUAUUUAUAGGACAAAGAUGGGCAUGCGGGACAUUAGCUAGUUGGCGGGGUAACGGCCCACCAAGGCGACAAUGUCUAGGGGAUCUGAGAGGAUGACCCCCCACACUGGUACUGAGACACGGACCAAACUCCUACGGGAGGCAGCAGUAAGGAAUAUUGGUCAAUGGGCGGAAGCCUGAACCAGCCAUGCCGCGUGCAGGAAGACGGCCCAACGGGUUGUAAACUGCUUUUGCAGGGGAAUAAACCUUGGUACGUGUACCAAGCUGAAUGUACUCUGAGAAUAAGGAUCGGCUAACUCCGUGCCAGCAGCCGCGGUAAUACGGAGGAUCCAAGCGUUAUCCGGAUUUAUUGGGUUUAAAGGGUGCGUAGGCGGCUUUUUAAGUCAGGGGUGAAAGACGGUAGCUUAACUAUCGCAGUGCCUUUGA